UACGUAGGGUGCGAGCGUUGUCCGGAUUUAUUGGGCGUAAAGAGCUCGUAGGCGGUCUGUCGCGUCGGAUGUGAAAACCCAGGGCUCAACCCCGAGCCUGCUUCCGAUACGGGCAGACUAGAGGUAUGCAGGGGAGAAUGGAAUUCCUGGUGUAGCGGUGAAAUGCGCAGAUAUCAGGAGGAACACCCGUGGCGAAGGCGGCACUCUGGGACGGUACUGACGCUGAGACGCGAAGGCGUGGGGAGCGAACAGG
rnacentral:rRNA from 1 species